rnacentral:rRNA from 1 species
UUAACUAUUAUUAUGAUGAAUACGGUAAUGUGGCGUUUAUAUAUGCAUGUAUAUAAGAGAUGUUUAAAACGCUGCGAGUUUCACGUUACCGUUUUAUAAUUCAUCAUUUGGCGAGCGGUAAUUGUAAACGAUGACGAUUUGCACAGUAUGGAUAGAGCGUGUUGUGUGCAGAUUCGUGUAAAAAUGCUUGUCGUCUUUACGAUAACCGUUCUAGUGAUGCAUUGAAAAGAAAGAAAUGCGAUCGUAUGACGAUAACGUAUAUGAUGGUAUACGAGGUUCAUGUGAAUUAAAAUCGUUAAUACAGAAAUGCGAGUACUAUAUCAUACAUUCAAAUCGACAUCGCUAUAUGUCGAAUGUGUUUGUGUAUGGUGUGUUAACGAUUAUGUAAUAGACAGAAAUUGGUGUAUUGUUAAUAAGAAACGACGUUAUUCGUCUGUCAUGAACAAUCGUUAUCGAUUAUCGUCGUCACUAAAAUGCAACCUGAACUCAGAUGUGAUUACCCGCUAAACUUAAGCAUAUCAUUU